rnacentral:rRNA from 1 species
GUCCACGCCGUAAACGAUGAGAACUAGUUGUGGUGGGAGUUAACCCCUGCUGUAACGUAGCAAACGCGUUAAGUUCUCCGCCUGGGAAGUACGGUCGCAAGACUAAAACUCAAAGGAAUUGACGGGGGCCCGCACAAGCGGUGGAUCAUGUGGUUUAAUUCGAAGCAACGCGCAGAACCUUACCUGGGUUUGAAAUCCUACGAAUUUUACAGAGAUGUAGAAGUGCCCUUCGGGGAAUGUAGAGACAGGCGCUGCAUGGCUGUCGU